rnacentral:rRNA from 1 species
AGCGAACGCUGGCGGCAGGCUUAACACAUGCAAGUCGAGCGGGCCCUUCGGGGUCAGCGGCGGACGGGUGAGUAACGCGUGGGAACGUGCCUUCUGGUCUGGAAUAACCCUGGGAAACUCGGGCUAAUACCGGAUACGCCCUUUUGGGGAAAGGUUUACUGCCGGAUGAUCGGCCCGCGUCUGAUUAGCUAGUUGGUGGGGUAACGGCCUACCAAGGCGACGCUCAGUAGCUGGUCUGAGAGGAGGAUCAGCCACACUGGGACUGAGACACGGCCCAGACUCCUACGGGAGGUAGAAGUGGGGAAUAUUGGACAAGGGGCGCAAGCCUGAGCAAGCCAGGCCGCGGGAGUGAUGAAGGCCUUAGGGUUGUAAAGCUCGUUUAUCCGGGACGAUAAUGACGGUACCGGAGGAAUAAGCCCCGGCUAACUUCGUG